rnacentral:misc_RNA from 1 species
UUUUGAUUUUUUAACCGACUUCCAAAAAAGGAGGAGGUUCUCAAUUCGACUGUAUUUUUUUUUUUUUUUUUUUUUUUUUUUUAUGUAUGUUACAUCAGAACUUUUGACUGGGUGGAGUGAUUUCGACAAAUUUUCUUUUAAUCGAAAGGUGUUGUGUGCCAAUUGGUCCCAUUUAAAUUUAUUUGAGAUCUCACAACUACUUUUCGAGCUAUAUCUAAUAAUGCGUUUUUACUUGACGCUUUUUUCGUCGACCUACGUUGUAUUAUACCGCAUAACUUUCUACUGGAUGUACCGAUUUUGAUAAUUCUUUUUUUGUUGGAAAGG